AUCAGUCCUGGGAAAUUUUCGGCUAUGCUCUUUGCAUUUUGCAGUAGAUGACUACAACAGAGAUAGGGUCAUAGUUGAUGGGAGGACGCAAAAAGAAAUUGCUGAAGACAUCUGCUCUGCCCGCUCUUUUGGAAGCAAUAUUGGCCAUGGCAGUGAGAACCCCCAGAGAAGCGAGGGCAAAUAGAGAUUGAAGAACAAUCUGCCUCUACUGCGACUGUCACAGGCAGUGUGCCCAGCCGUGGGACAAAAACAACCUGUUGCUGCUUCAGCCCAUAGUCAAAGUGGGCUCGUUCCAGAGGUCUGUUGGAAGUGUUCCACUGCUAUGUUGAAGUACUACAUACCCAAGAGAUAACACUUCUCCUACAUGGGCAUGAGGAAUAGAGGGCAACUCACUGUUUUGGAGCAUGAUGAAAAUAUUGUGAAGAGGAAGCCUGC